rnacentral:rRNA from 13 species
CGGCGAGCGAACGGGGAAAAGCCCAUUAAGUCAUAUCAGUUUUAGUGGAAUGCUCUGGGAAGUGCAACCAUAGUGGGUGAUAGUCCUGUACACGAAAGGGCUGAUAUGAUGAUGUCGAGUAGGGCGGGGCACGUGAAACCUUGUCUGAAUAUGGGGGGACCAUCCUCCAAGGCUAAAUACUCCUGACUGACCGAUAGUGAACCAGUACCG